rnacentral:sRNA from 1 species
AAAACAAAAGAAGAAAAAGCG